AACGAACGCUGGCGGCAUGCCUAACACAUGCAAGUCGAACGAGACCUUCGGGUCUAGUGGCGCACGGGUGCGUAACGCGUGGGAACCUGCCUUUAGGUUCGGAAUAACUCAGAGAAAUUUGAGCUAAUACCGGAUGAUGUCUUCGGACCAAAGAUUUAUCGCCUUUAGAUGGGCCCGCGUUGGAUUAGCUAGUUGGUGGGGUAAAGGCCUACCAAGGCGACGAUCCAUAGCUGGUCUGAGAGGAUGAUCAGCCACACUGGGACUGAGACACGGCCCAGACUCCUACGGGAGGCAGCAGUGGGGAAUCUUAGACAAUGGGGGAAACCCUGAUCUAGCCAUGCCGCGUGAUCGAUGAAGGCCUUAGGGUUGUAAAGAUCUUUCAGAUGGGAAGAUAAUGACGGUACCAUCAGAAGAAGCCCCGGCUUAACUCCGUG
rnacentral:rRNA from 1 species